rnacentral:rRNA from 1 species
UACGAAGGGGGCUAGCGUUGCUCGGAAUUACUGGGCGGAAAGGGCGCGUAGGCGGACAGUUAAGUUGGGGGUGAAAGCCCGGGGCUCAACCUCGGAAUUGCCUUCAAUACUGGCUGUCUUGAGUACGGGAGAGGUGUGUGGAACUCCGAGUGUAGAGGUGAAAUUCGUAGAUAUUCGGAAGAACACCAGUGGCGAAGGCGACACACUGGCCCGUUACUGACGCUGAGGCGCGAAAGCGUGGGGAGCAAACAGG